rnacentral:lncRNA from 10 species
AAGCUGACAUUACAUCCUCAUCUUCUUCUGAUAUAGAAGAUGAUGAUCAGAAUUCUAUAGGUGAGGGAAGCAGCGAUGAACAGAAAAUUAAGCCUGUGACUGAAAAUUUAGUGCUGUCUUCACAUACUGGAUUUUGCCAAUCUUCAGAGAUGAAGCCUUAUCUAAAUCAGUGCCUGUCACAGUGGAUGAUGAUGAUGACGACAAUGAUCCUGAG